GUUUCACUCAGUGCCUGGCUGCUUCACGUAUUUUCCCUAGGCAUUUGGUCCUAUCUCUCCAGCCUUUCUAUUCCUCACCCCUUCACCAGGAGGAAAGGAUUCUUUUCUUCAGUCCUUUGUACCUAUUGUUAACUUAGAUGGACAGCUUCGCCUGUGUAAUGCAGGAAAAGGGGGACCGGUUCUGCUGGACAUCUCAAGCCAUCAAGACAGACGUUGUCAUAAGAAGCAAUACACACCAAUGAUCAAAAUCAUCUAUUUGGAAAGACUGCAGUACUGAGGAACCUACCUGGGCUAUCACAUUUUUGGCAUGCUACAGGACAAGAUGAUUUAGUAAUCAAGCUGGUCAUUCAGUUUCCAACUGUAGAGAUCAAGAUCAUCUCCAGAUGAUCUUAUGCAGUGGGCAACCAGCUCAGUUGGCCGUAUCAGCAGAAUCUAAGACUGAACAUACAAACCUGGUGCGGUUUUUGAACUUCUGUUUCAGUGCUGAACUUUGUAUGAAAAAUGAGAUGGAAUCAGGUGUGG